CAAAGAGAGAACGAGCUUAUCUUAUGUUGCAAAAGUGGCAUUCCAAGGAAGGAGAUAAUGCAUCUAUAGACACAGUGAAAGCUGAACUCAAACAUGUCAAAGAGCAAAAGAAACCAGAAGCAGUUGAUGGAAUAAUAUUUCCUGAUCAUCUGAGGGAAGAAAACCAGUUUUGUGGCCGAAAAGAAGAAUUGCAGAGGUUACAGGAAACAUUUUUGGGAGAGGAAAAAGUUCAUCUGCCAAUAAAGGAAAAUUGCUGUGUGGUGAUCAAAGGUAUGGGUGGCUUGGGGAAAUCAUCUUUGGCAGCUAAAUAUGCAUUGCUCUGGAAACACUUCUACAGUGAUGGAGUGAUAUAUUUCAAUGCAGAAUCAUGGGCAUCACUGGCAAACUCAGUUAUACGCAAUUUAAAAGUCUUGUGUUUGAGCUGCAGUCCACAAAGCUCAUUCAAAGAGAAAAAUGAAGUUCUUCUUAACUAUGUCUACAGGCACUCAAAUAUGCUGUUGGUUUAUGAUGGUGCUGAUGAUCUCUCUUUUUUGCCCAAACUUCUUCCUCAAUUUUCUGCUCACGUUCAUGUGUUAAUUACAACUCGAUGUGAAGAUUGUUCUAACCUACAAAAUGUAAGCCUUGAGGUUCCUCUUGGUCGUUUGAAGAAAGAAGAUGCUAUGUCAGCUCUAACUAAAUGGUCUGGUCGUCAACCACCAAAUAGUGAUGAGCAAGUUGCUGCCAUGAAGCUAUCCACUGAACCUCCCAUAGAAAUGCUACCUAUUGCUCUUGCUCAUGCAGGCACAUAUGUGCGAAAGACACAUAUAAGCUAUGAGGAAUAUUACAAGAAAUUGAAAAAAGAAGAAGAUAAUCUGAAAGCUUUAACUUUGAAUUUUGACAAUCUUUUGCCAUACUUUAAAGCGAGUCGUCUUCAUGAAACUUUGUUGAAUACUGGGUUGACUCAACCUUCUGAUUUGGCAAAGUUGACCAGUGAAGACAUUGAUGGGUUGAAUAUAAGUAAUUAUGACAAACAUGUGGUCAGAAAUAUGCAGUCGUUUAUGUCUUCUAGUCAUGCUCAUCUCACGUGGCAGAUGGACGUGGACUUGGUUGCCAAAGAGAAUUCAGAAGCGUUGUCUGUUCUUGAAUAUGCAUCGUUUCUGUCCUCAAGAGACAUUCCAGAGAAUCUAGUUCGUCCUCUUGUCUUUAAUGAAUCUGCCAGGUACCAAUACAGUCUGUGCGUCUCAACGUUGUCCUCACACAAUUUAGUUGAAUGGCAUGAGACUGCAGAAGGAUACACUUUGAAUGUUCAUCCAUUGGUGCAGUCAACAGUGAUGGAACGCAUUAAGCAGCAACCAGAUGAGAUGGAACACAAACUAACUGAGGUUUGCAAGACAUUUAUGUUUCAAAGGCCAGAAGAGUCUUCUAUGUAUCAAGAUGAACGUUUUCAACGACUUGUAGCUCAUUUAUAUUCAUUGGCCAAACAUAUUGUGAUUGCUGGUGUAAAUGACGUAACUUGUGUGGAUCUGGUUUCACUUGCCUGUCAUGUUUCUUUGUAUUACAAUCAAGCAGAGCUAGCUUUGUUUCUUUCUGAGAAACUGUACCAAAUUGUGAUCAAAUGCGAUAUGCGAUUCACAUACAUCCUUUUUGAAGCAAUGAUUUUAUUGGCUCAUGCACAUCUUUCGAAGGCAAAUAUACAGAAAGCAUUGGAUCUGUUCCUAGAAACUAAGGAGUUCAUUGAAGCAUUAGGACCAGAACACCAGCAUAAACUGUUGAAACAACGGUACAAAGUGUUGUCAAAUAUCAUUAUUUGCUGUGAAAUACAAAGAAAAAGGGAAGAAGUAGCAUUUUACAUAGAUCAGUUAAAAGUACUGAGACAAACUUUUGAAACUGAAUCUGCAGUGAAGAUGGACAACAAUAGGGAAUGGAAGUUCAUGGCACAGAAUUAUAUCAGAUUGGGUAAACCGGACAAAGCCAAGGAACUAUUUGAACAGCAACUGGAAAAGGUCAAUGAUAUGGAAGAAUAUAAUCAGAUGAUAGCAAUGGCCAAUUUAGGAAGCUAUUUUUUCAGCAUUGGAGACACUGAAAAGGCAGCUGAUUUAUUGAAGAAGUCAUAUGAUUAUGUUUGUCGAGUCACUCCCAAUGAUCACUCUCGAAUUGUUCAACUUCUGAUUGACAUGUCUAAGUGUGAGUUUGAAAGAGCUAAUGGAUCAAAAGACAAACUUAUGGCAGCAUUGGAAUUAGGAAAUAAAGCUUUAUCUGUUGCUCAGUCUUCACAAACAUCAGACCAGGCUCUAGUUGUUUAUAGCAAAAAGUAUGUUGCUGUAUGUCAUCAGAAUUUAGGAAACAUGAAAAUGACUAUUCAGCUACUGGAAGAAUGCAGGAAGAUUGAGGAAGCUCAUAUUCUUGAUUGGCAUGAAGCUCUGUGUCACACAUUGCGGUUCUUAGGAUUAGCAUAUCUGAGUGAAGGCAAUUUUGAGAAAGCUCUUGAUUGCUUUAAUGAAGCACUACAGCUGCACCAGCAACAAGAAGAUACUCCGUAUCAUUCAGAAAUUGCUGAUACUUUGAUGAUGCUUGGUGAUGUCUAUUGUGAGAUGAACAAACUUGAUGAUGCAUUGCAACGUUUUGAGCAGUCUCUAGAGAUUAGAGAACAAAAGCAAUUAUUUGGUCCCACAACUGUUCUAGUUUGUCAACAUUUUGGAAAAACUCACUGGAGGAUGUUACUAAAAGGGAACUUUUCACAAGUCUACAGAGCACGAACUGCACUUACGAAGUCUCUCAGCAUCCUGCUGUCUUGUCCAAACUGUGAUCAACAAAUUUUAGAAAGUUUGGCAAUGCUGGCCAACUUGUAUGAAAUAAGAAUUGACAACAUGAGUUUGAAGGACUACUGUAUUAUGCUAGGACUGAUAGCAAGGACAGCAUAUGCUCACACAAAUUAUGCUAUAGCCAAGGAGUUGUUCUACAUGAGAAAGAAAGUUCGACUUGAUGUGAUGGCAUCAGAUCCAGUAGAAGGAGCUAUUGAUGAUAACCAAUGAGAGGAUUUCUGUCAUCACAGUUGAACUACAUUUUGGAAAAGAAUAGAGAAAGCUAUAAAUUAGAAAAACUGGGGGGCCAAAAGAAUGGUUGAGUAUUCGCAUUGUUGAUUCCAGCUGCCAUGUUGGUACAUACAGCUGCCAUGUUGGUACAUACAGCUGCCAGUCCUUGUGUUCUUUGCGAUACUCCAACAGCUAAACAAAAUAUUGGUUCACGAGUGAGGGCAGUGGUUCAAUUAAUUAAAUGGGCGACUAUGUUGUGUAUGAUCACUGGAUUGUGUGUGAAAGUAUGAAAAAUCAUGAUAUGAUGCAAACAGGUGUUGAUUAAUAAACCAAAUUGCAAUUGAUUUGAGGCUCACGUGUUGUUCCCACUUGGCUUGUCUGAAACUUUACUUGCCCCAGCAACCUACACCUUUUGCAAUUGCCGAUGAAUGUGCUGAACUGCACAUCAAAAUCAUGUACAGUAAUCUAAGAAAGCACACUUGUCAAGCCAUGUUUGUGUUGUUGGACUCCUAAUAAAUAAGGUCGUAAUAUUUUAAUGAAGUAGAAUGAUCUCAAAUUCUGUUAUUCCAGUGUUGUUGUAUCAUAUAUGACCAAAUGUGACUAUACCUUUAUUCUGUGUGUUUUGUUGCUAUGUAGUUUUGCAUGACAUUGGUUUGUGUCACCUACGUCUCUCAGAGUUGGACAAAGCAGAGAAUAGUUUUGCUGAAUCGCUGGGAAUUGUUCAACAUUUGAAACCAGAAGAAGUUCAGAGUUUACAGAUUUCAACUAUCAAAAAUCUACUUGGACU